AUAUUGGACAAUGGGGGCAACCCUGAUCCAGCCAUGCCGCGUGUGUGAAGAAGGCCUUCGGGUUGUAAAGCACUUUAAGUGGGGAGAAAGGUUCCAGGGUUAAUAACCCUGGGAAUUGAUGUUACCCACAGAAUAAGCACCGGCUAACUCUGUGCCAGCAGCCGCGGUAAUACAGAGGGUGCAAGCGUUAAUCGGAAUUACUGGGCGUAAAGCGCGCGUAGGCGGCUGUCUAAGUCGGGUGUGAAAGCCCCGGGCUCAACCUGGGAACUGCAUUCGAUACUGGACGGCUAGAGUAUGAAAGAGGGAGGUAGAAUUCCACGUGUAGCGGUGAAAUGCGUAGAUAUGUGGAGGAAUACCGGUGGCGAAGGCGGCCUCCUGGUUCAAUACUGACGCUGAGGUGCGAAAGCGUGGGGAGCAAACAGG
rnacentral:rRNA from 1 species